rnacentral:rRNA from 1 species
UCCGAACGAUGAUGCCCAGCUUGCUGGGUGGAUUAGUGGCGAACGGGUGAGUAACACGUGAGUAACCUGCCCCUGACUCUGGGAUAAGCGUUGGAAACGACGUCUAAUACUGGAUACGACUGCCGGCCGCAUGGUCUGGUGGUGGAAAGAUUUUUUGGUUGGGGAUGGACUCGCGGCCUAUCAGCUUGUUGGUGAGGUAAUGGCUCACCAAGGCGACGACGGGUAGCCGGCCUGAGAGGGUGACCGGCCACACUGGGACUGAGACACGGCCCAGACUCCUACGGGAGGCAGCAGUGGGGAAUAUUGCACAAUGGGCGAAAGCCUGAUGCAGCAACGCCGCGUGAGGGAUGACGGCCUUCGGGUUGUAAACCUCUUUUAGUAGGGAAGAAGCGAAAGUGACGGUACCUGCAGAAAAAGCACCGGCUAACUACGUGCCAGCAGCCGCGGUAAUACGUAGGGUGCAAGCGUUGUCCGGAAUUAUUGGGCGUAAAGAGCUCGUAGGCGGUUUGUCGCGUCUGCUGUGAAAUCCCGAGGCUCAACCUCGGGCUUGCAGUGGGUACGGGCAGACUAGAGUGCGGUAGGGGAGAUUGGAAUUCCUGGUGUAGCGGUGGAAUGCGCAGAUAUCAGGAGGAACACCGAUGGCGAAGGCAGAUCUCUGGGCCGUAACUGACGCUGAGGAGCGAAAUCGUGGGGAGCGAACAUGAUUAGAUACCCUGGUAGUCCCCGCCGUAUACGUUGGGCGCUAGAUGUAGGACCUUUCCACGGUUUCUGUGUCGUAUCUA